GCAGGUGUAGUUUAUUGAUAAAAUAUUAGUUUUGUAAACUAAUGAUAGCGCGUAUGUAUUAUAGUGCUUAUCUGUU
rnacentral:tRNA from 1 species